AACGAACGCUGGCGGCGUGCCUAACACAUGCAAGUCGUGCGAGAAAGUUCCUUCGGGAGCGAGUAAAGCGGCGCACGGGUGAGUAACACGUAGGUAACCUGCCCCCCAGUCUGGAACAACUAGAGGAAACUCUAGCUAAUGCCGGAUGAGACCACGAUCCCUUCGGGGGUUGCGGCCAAAGAUGGCCUCUACUUGUAAGCUAUCGCUGAGGGAUGGGCCUGCGGGCCAUUAGCUUGUUGGUGAGGUAACGGCUCACCAAGGCUGUGAUGGCUAGCUGGUCUGAGAGGAUGAUCAGCCACACUGGGACUGAGACACGGCCCAGACUCCUACGGGAGGCAGCAGUGGGGAAUAUUGCGCAAUGGGCGAAAGCCUGACGCAGCGACGCCGCGUGGGUGAUGAA
rnacentral:rRNA from 1 species